GGCUCAGAUUGAACGCUGGCGGAAUGCUUACACAUGCAAGUCGAACGGCAGCACGGGUGCUUGCACCUGGUGGCGAGUGGCGAACGGGUGAGUAUGCACCGGAACGUAUCCAAUAAUGGGGGAUAACGCACCGAAAGGUGUGCUAAUACCGCAUACGCCUGAGGGGAAAGCGGGGAUCGUAAGACCUCGCGUUAAUGGAGCGGCCGAUGCCGGAUUAGCUAGUUGGUGAGGUAAAGGCUCACCGAGGCGACGAUCCGUAGCUGGUCUGAGAGGACGACCAGCCACACUGGAACUGAGACACGGUCCAGACUCCUACGGGAGGCAGCAGUGGGGAAUUUUGGACAAUGGGCGCAAGCCUGAUCCAGCCAUUCCGCGUGAGUGAAGAAGGCUUCGGGUUGUAAAGCUCUUUCGCAAGGAAAGAAAACUUAUCUCCUAAUACGAGGUGAGGUUGACGGUACCUUGAUAAGAAGCACCGGCUAACUACGUG
rnacentral:rRNA from 1 species